rnacentral:tRNA from 1 species
GUUUUAAUAGUUUAACAAAAAUAUUGGUCUUGUAAACCAAAGAUAAAUCUAAUUUUUUAAAACU